AUCGGUUAGCGCCUGUGCGGAGACCACUGCUUUCUGAAUUAUGGUUCUGCAGCCGAGAUUAGCAGGAUGUGAGAAGAGACGAUGUGAGUUUAACACAUUGGUGGAGUGAAAUUAGGCAUGAUUGGGAAGCAAUUGGUACUCCCCAUCUAACACAAGGGCAAGGGCUUGAGAGCAUCUGGAGACUAAGAAGCGACCGCAAUGACGGGCCUUGAGAUUCCAUCAGGAAACCUAAUGGCAGGGGGUGUCUCAUAUACUAAGGUUUCAAAGAAGAUUACAUCUUACAAGUGAAAAUAACAAGAAUUGUUAACUACUAGGAUAUAAUCCUGUUCAUUUUACGCAGGGUUAAACGUUUGACUAACCUUGUCAGUACCAUCAGC